GAUGAACGCUGGCGGCGUGCCUAGUACAUGCAAGUCGAGCGAACAGACGAGGAGCUUGCUCCUCUGACGUUAGCGGCGGACGGGUGAGUAACACGUGGAUAACCUACCUAUAAGACUGGGAUAACUUCGGGAAACCGGAGCUAAUACCGGAUAAUAUAUUGAACCGCAUGGUUCAAUAGUGAAAGACGGUUUUGCUGUCACUUAUAGAUGGAUCCGCGCCGCAUUAGCUAGUUGGUAAGGUAACGGCUUACCAAGGCAACGAUGCGUAGCCGACCUGAGAGGGUGGUCGGCCACACUGGAACUGAGACACGGUCCAGACUCCUACGGGAGGCAGCAGUAGGGAAUCUUCCGCAAUGGGCGAAAGCCUGACGGAGCAACGCCGCGUGAGUGAUGAAGGUCUUCGGAUCGUAAAACUCUGUUAUUAGGGAAGAACAAAUGUGUAAGUAACUAUGCACGUCUUGACGGUACCUAAUCAGAAAGCCACGGCUAACUACGUG
rnacentral:rRNA from 1 species